AAGCUAUGGUGAGGGCAUGAUCUAAGCAUAUUUUUGAAUCUAUCUCACACUUCAUAGAGAGAUUCAGUGUAAGAUUGUCUGAAGCUAGCAAUUAAAUAAUUACUCAU